CCUACGGGGGGCAGCAGUGGGGAAUUUUGGACAAUGGGCGCAAGCCUGAUCCAGCUAUUCCGCGUGUGGGAAGACGGCCUUCGGGUUGUAAACCACUUUUGUAGAGAACGAAAAGUCUGUUGAUAAUACCGAUAGAUGAUGACGGUACUCUAAGAAUAAGCACCGGCUAACUACGUGCCAGCAGCCGCGGUAAUACGUAGGGUGCGGGCGUUAAUCGGAAUUACUGGGCGUAAGGGGUGUGCAGGCGGUUUUGCAAAGUGGAUGGGAAAGCCCCGGGCUUAACCUGGGAAAGCCAUACAUGACUGCAAGACUAGAGUGGGGCAGAGGUGGGUGGAAUUCCAAGUGUAGCAGUGAAAUGCGUAGAUAUUUGGAAGAACACCGAUGGCGAAGGCAGCCCCCUGGGACGCAACUGACGCUCAUACACGAAAGCGUGGGGAGCAAACAGGAUUAGAUACCCCAGUAGUC
rnacentral:rRNA from 1 species